rnacentral:rRNA from 1 species
UUCAGCAGUAGCGAAUUUAAGUCUGAUGUGAAAGCCCUCGGCUCAACCGGAGAAGGUCAUUGGAAACUGGGAGACUUGAGUGCAGAAGAGGAGAGUGGAAUUCCAUGUGUAGCGGUGAAAUGCGUAGAUAUAUGGAAGAACACCAGUGGCGAAAGCGGCUCUCUGGUCUGUAA